rnacentral:lncRNA from 1 species
AUUUACUUUUAUUAAUAAUUAAAAUAUAUUGAAAAGAAUGGAAGAUAAUAGUGACCAAGCGUGCUUUGGUGAUAAAUAGAAAAGAAUCACAACAAACUCUUAACACUGAAUUUGAAAUCAAAAAGAAAAAAAUUAUAUUUACGCUCUACUUUAUUAUGUUCACUGGAUCAGUAGGUUUCUCUAUUUUGAUGUCUUCUAUGUGGCCGUUUAUGAAAGAG